rnacentral:rRNA from 1 species
AAUAGAUACCCUGGUAGUCCACGCCGUAAACGAUGGAUACUAGCUGUUCGGUCGCAAGAUUGAGUGGCUAAGCGAAAGUGAUAAGUAUCCCACCUGGGGAGUACGAACGCAAGUUUGAAACUCAAAGGAAUUGACGGGGGCCCGCACAAGCGGUGGAGCAUGUGGUUUAAUUCGAUGAUACGCGAGGAACCUUACCAAGGCUUAAAUGUAUAUUGACAGGACUGGAAACAGUUUUUUCUUCGGACAAUUUACAAGGUGCUGCAUGGUUGUCGUCAGCUCGUGCCGUGAGGUGUCAGGUUAAGUCCUAUAACGAGCGCAACCCCUGUUGUUAGUUGCCAGCGAGUCAAGUCGGGAACUCUAACAAGACUGCCAGUGUAAACUGUGAGGAAGGUGGGGAUGACGUCAAAUCAUCACGGCCCUUACGCCUUGGGCUACACACGUGCUACAAUGGCCGGUACAGAGAGCAGCCACUGCGCGAGCAGGAGCGAAUCUAUAAAACCGGUCACAGUUCGGAUCGGAGUCUGCAACUCGA